rnacentral:snRNA from 1 species
AUGCUCACUUUGGCAGCACAUAUACUUAAAUUGGAAUGAUACAGAGAAGAUUAGCAUGGACCCUGUGCAAGGAUGACUAGCAAGAUCAUGAAGUGUUCCAUAUUUUU